rnacentral:rRNA from 1 species
UACGGGGGGGGCAAGCGUGGUUCGGAAUUACUGGGCGUAAAGGGCUCGUAGGCGGCCAACUAAGUCGGACGUGAAAUCCCUCGGCUUAACCGGGGAACUGCGUCCGAUACUGGAUGGCUUGAGGUUGGGAGAGGGAUGCGGAAUUCCAGGUGUAGCGGUGAAAUGCGUAGAUAUCGAGAGGAACACCAGUGGCGAAAGCGGCGCACUGGACCACAACUGACGCUGAGGCGCGAAAGCUAGGGGAGCAAACAGG